rnacentral:rRNA from 1 species
UACGUAGGGUGCGAGCGUUAAUCGGAAUUACUGGGCGUAAAGCGUGCGCAGGCGGUUUUGCAAGCCGGAUGUGAAAUCCCCGGGCUUAACCUGGGAAUGGCAUUUGGGACUGCAAGGCUGGAGUGCGGCAGAGGAGACUGGAAUUCCUGGUGUAGCAGUGAAAUGCGUAGAUAUCAGGAGGAAUACCGAUGGCGAAGGCAGGUCUCUGGGCUGACACUGACGCUCAUGCACGAAAGCGUGGGAGCAAACAGG